GACGGGACCCGCACAAGCGGUGGAUGAUGUGGAUUAAUUCGAUGCAACGACGAAAACCUUAACCUACCCUUGACAUGCCACGGAAUCCUGCAGAGAUGUGGGAGUGCUCGAAAGAGAACCUGGACACAGGUGCUGCAUGGCUGUCGUCAGCUCGUGUCGUGAGAUGUUGGGUUAAGUCCCGCAACGAGCGCAACCCUUGUCAUUAGUUGCCAUCAUUAAGUUGGGCACUCUAAUGAGACUGCCGGUGACAAACCGGAGGAAGGUGGGGAUGACGUCAAGUCCUCAUGGCCCUUAUGGGUAGGGCUUCACACGUCAUACAAUGGUCGGUACAAAGGGUUGCCAAGCCGCGAGGUCGAGCGAAUCUCAAAAAACCCAUCAUAGUCCGGAUUGCAGUCUGCAACUCGACUGCAUGAAGUUGGAAUCGCUAGUAAUCGUGGAUCAGCAUGCCACGGUGAAUACGUUCCCGGGUCUU
rnacentral:rRNA from 1 species